UUUUAAAUGGACAUAUAUUAUUCAACCUAUGAAGAAAUAAUAUGUGUACAAUGUCCCACAUCGCUUAGAAAAAUUGGACAAUGGUUCAGACCCAUAUUAUAAAAGGACCAAAAUGAUUCUGAUUACGAAUGAGCAGGAAGCUUGAUUUAUCAGGCGUCCAAAAUUAAAAUAGUUAUCCGAUUUUACUGGGAUUUUUUAUUUUAAAGAAUUGAAACUUUAAAAUGUCUCAAAAAAUUAUAAAUAUUAUAACUUUAUCAAAAGUUAAAUAUUAUAAUUUU
rnacentral:sRNA from 1 species